ACUGACAACACUGGGUUGAUAGUAGAUAGGGUGGAGGAGUUGGAAAAUCAGGCUAGUGCUUGAAGAAGAAAAUAGGAACAGCAGAUGAGGAAGUCAGCUGAGGGAUGGUUGCCAGUGUUGCCUGAUUGUGGAAAGUAUAUAACCUGGGAAAACAUUGCCCACAGGCUGAUGUGUAUGUUUGGGGGCAGUAUGUCCCCUAGGUCUCCAUGUCCACUCACGUCUUGUUCCUUAUCUUUUCAGAUUAAGGUCGAGGAAGACUUUGGCUUUGAAGCAGAUGAGGCCUUGGAUUCAAGUUGGGUUUCCCGAGGGCCAGACAAAUUGCUACCCUACCCUACCCUAGCUAGCCCACCCUUUGACUAACCCUGUCUCCCCAAUAAACAGAUUCCCCAUGUACA
rnacentral:lncRNA from 1 species